rnacentral:pre_miRNA from 1 species
CAACUACUCCCUCUGUCCCAAAUUUCUUGUCUUAGAUUAGUCUAGAUACGGAUGUAUCUAAUACUAAAAUGUGACUUGAUACAUCCGUAUCUAGACAAAUAUAAGACAAGAAUUUUGCGACGGAGGGAGUACUUU